UCGUCACCAUGAGUCCUAG
rnacentral:siRNA from 1 species